rnacentral:rRNA from 1 species
AACGAACGCUGGCGGCAGGCCUAACACAUGCAAGUCGAACGCCCCGCAAGGGGAGUGGCAGACGGGUGAGUAACGCGUGGGAACCUACCCAGUGGUACGGAAUAGCCCAGGGAAACCUGG